UACAUANUGAAGCUAUAGCAUGGCAAAACCUGCUAAAGUAUUGUUCGGAGGGAUAAAUUGUCAAAAUUGUUGACGAAGGAUUUCAUCAGCGCAGUGAUGGAACUUCAAUAGAGUUGCCACGGUAUGACAAAACUUAUUUUUGUAAUACAACUGUUGAUGUGUAAUGUGCUUCCAAAAGUGAUUUCAGCGCCAGUUUUUAUAUUUAGUUUUCUCUAGAGCAGUGUCUCCCAGGCUAGUAAAAAUCUGCUGUCAAAGGAAUAAACUUGCUUUUGAAAGUUAGAUAAGAACGAGCGAAUUUUUAAAUAUUUAUGAAGUAUUGCAAAAUGUCAGUAUUUGUGAAUACUUUGGAAAUAUAAAAUACUAAAUGGCAAAAACUCGCGCCAAAUAUUUUCAUUUGU